ensembl:misc_RNA Metazoa_SRP Metazoan signal recognition particle RNA
GCCAGGCGCGGUGGCUCACGCCCGUAAUCCCAGCUCUUUGGGAGGCUGAGGUGGGUGGAUCACCUGAGGUCAGGAGUUCUCGACCAGCCUGGCCAAUAUGGUGAAACCCCAUCUCUA